rnacentral:tRNA from 1 species
GGAGUAUUAGUUAAAAAAUAACACUGCCUUGUCAAGACAAAAUCAUAGGUUAAAUCCCUAUAUACUCCU